AUGAACGCUGGCGGCGUGCCUAAUACAUGCAAGUCGAGCGAACAGACGAGGAGCUUGCUCCUCUGACGUUAGCGGCGGACGGGUGAGUAACACGUGGAUAACCUACCUAUAAGACUGGGAUAACUUCGGGAAACCGGAGCUAAUACCGGAUAACAUGUUGAACCGCAUGGUUCAACAGUGAAAGACAGUCUUGCUGUCACUUAUAGAUGGAUCCGCGCCGCAUUAGCUAGUUGGUAAGGUAACGGCUUACCAAGGCAACGAUGCGUAGCCGACCUGAGAGGGUGAUCGGCCACACUGGAACUGAGACACGGUCCAGACUCCUACGGGAGGCAGCAGUAGGGAAUCUUCCGCAAUGGGCGAAAGCCUGACGGAGCAACGCCGCGUGAGUGAAGAAGGUCUUCGGAUCGUAAAACUCUGUUAUUAGGGAAGAACAAAUGUGUAAGUAACUAUGCACGUCUUGACGGUACCUAAUCAGAAAGCCACGGCUAACUACGUG
rnacentral:rRNA from 1 species